UUAAAUUAAAUCUUUGAACAAUUUUCUUUUAUAAAACCAAUCCAUUUAUUGAAUGGCCAGCUGAUUGCGACGCCCAGAACCUGCAGAAAAGCCGUUUUCCUAUCGCCAUUUUCGAGUCAAUUCGCCAAAUUUUAUCAAAUCACACCAAUUGCUAGUGAAAAAUGGAAGCCUUUUCUCUCCAAUAAGUGGACGCGAUGCCGCAAGAGACAAGAUUGAAGUGCAGCCAACACUGCAUGGUGCUUCUCACAAGAGCUGACCCAUUGCUGUUUUUCAACUCUUCUGGAAAAGGAGACAAGAUUGAAGUGCAGCCAACACUGCAUGGUGCUUCUCACAAGAGCUGACCCAUUGCUGUUUUUCAACUCUUCUGGAAAAGGUAAUAUUGGCAGAUACUUACAUUGUUUCACAAUCUACGUUCUGGUAUGGGUCUCCCCUCCGCGGACCAUCUGGUGGGACCAUCAACCGCUGGGACACGACCCAGCGGUUGUAGUGGUCUACUAUUCAUCUAUAAAUCUUAAAAAGUCCGCCGCCGUCGGGGUUACGCUUAAAAAGGCUUUAUGCGGCGCCGUCGAUUGACGCACGAGGGUGAAAUUUUCACGGCUCGUGGGUCGCG